GGGCGCGUAGCUCAGCUGGUUAGAGCGCCACACUCACAUUGUGGAGGUCAGGGGUUCGAAUCCCUUCGCGCCCA
rnacentral:tRNA from 3 species